rnacentral:rRNA from 1 species
UAAACUAGGAUUAGAUACCCUAUUAUUUUUGUUGUUAAAAAUUUACCUGGGUAUUAAUAGAUAUGUUCUUUAAACCUAAAGAAUUUGGCGGUGUUUUAGUCUUUUCAGAGGAAUUUGUCCCUUAAUCGAUAGUCCCCGAUUUAAUCGUUCUUAUUUUUGUUUUAGUAUGUAUACCGCCGUAUAUGUUUAUUUUUUAAGAAAUUUAAAAUUUACUAAUUUCUUUAAUUAGGAUUAUUUCAGGUCAAGGUGCAGCUUAUAAAUAAGGGGAGGUGAAUUACAUUAUUAUUUGAAUAUACGAAUUUUAUUUUGAAAAAUAUUUUGAAGGUGGAUUUGUUAGUAAUUUUGUUAAUAUUAAUUUUUUGAUUUUGGCUCUAAAAUGAGUACACAUCG